AACGAACGCUGGCGGCAGGCCUAACACAUGCAAGUCGAACGCUGCAGCAAUGCAGAGUGGCAGACGGGUGAGUAACGCGUGGGAACAUUCCAAAUGGUACGGCAUAGCCCAGGGAAACUUGGGGUAAUACCGUAUAAGCCCCAUGGGGGAAAGAUUUAUCGCCAUUGGAUGGGCCCGCGUCGGAUUAGCUAGUUGGUGAGGUAACGGCUCACCAAGGCGACGAUCCGUAGCUGGUUUGAGAGAAUGACCAGCCACACUGGGACUGAGACACGGCCCAGACUCCUACGGGAGGCAGCAGUGGGGAAUCUUGGACAAUGGGCGAAAGCCUGAUCCAGCCAUGCCGCGUGAGUGACGAAGGCCUUAGGGUUGUAAAGCUCUUUUGGCGGGGACGAUAAUGACGGUACCCGCAGAAUAAGUCCCGGCUAACUUCGUGCCAGCAGCCGCCGUAA
rnacentral:rRNA from 1 species